rnacentral:rRNA from 1 species
GGAUGCGAUCAUACCAGCACUAAAGCACCGGAUCCCAUCAGAACUCCGAUGUUAAGCGUGCUUGGGCGAGAGUAGUACUAGGAUGG